rnacentral:tRNA from 2 species
CGCAGGGCCGGGUGGGCGGCGACGACGGCGUUCGCGGCGCGCUGGGCAUCGGCGAACCCGGUGCCCUCGGCCGCGGUCACCGCCCGGGCCUGCGC